rnacentral:lncRNA from 1 species
GGGAAACAGUAUUAAACGAUGAGACGUUUGGUUUUAGAUGUGGAUUAAGCAAAGACGACUUAUAGAUAGUCGGAAAAGCGUUUGAUCGGUUACAAGGAAAGGAGAUGCGUAAAAGAAAGGAAACCGGAGCUCGAAGAGCUUUUCCGGAAAGACACAGUACGACAAGAGAGCAAAGGUAAAACCCUAAUCUAGCCGUCGAGUAUGUGUGAGUGAUUUCAGAUCCCCUUACGUUGCAGAACCUUCUCCUUAUAUAGUCGACUUGGUGCUCUUCCAUGACCUAGCUUGCGUCGUCUUCACGGGCUUUUAACUCGUUG